rnacentral:rRNA from 1 species
AUGAACCCGGCCGCCGGUAUGUUUCCACCGCCGCCGCCGCCGCCACCACCUUUCCACUACGCGUUCCCGAUGCAGCCCCCGCCGUACUUCUACCAUGCACCCAUGUCGCCGGUAUGGCCGUCGUCCGCGGUCCCGGUGCGCUCCGUGUGGGCGCCCAACCUCAAGCAUGAAUCGGCCAACCUCCGCCACGUCGCCAGGAACGCCCAGUACGUCGCCAUCGACGUGCACUACCCGGGCGUCGUCCACCACCCCAGCCAGGACCACAACGCCCUCACCGUGGAGGAGCGCUACGCCCUCGUGAAGGCCAACGUCGACGGCCUGAAGCCGCUCCAGCUCGGCAUCGCGCUCUACGACAGCGACGGCGGGUACCUCGACGCCUGGGAGUUCAACCUCCGCGACUUCCGCCCCCAGGCCGACCCGCACGACGAGAACUCCCUCGCGUACCUCGCCGGCCGCGGCCUCGACGUCGGCGUGCUCCGCGACCACGGCGUCAGCGCCGACGUGCUAAGCAAGAUGCUGUUUGAAUCCGGCCUGAUCAGCGCUCGGCCUCGGCGUGGGCGGUCGCGGAGUUGGAUCACCUACGCUGGGGCCUACCAUGUCGCAUACCUGCUCAAGAUUGUCACCGGCGGCGCCCCGCUGCCGCGAGACGUGGCCGGGUUCAACGGCGCCGUGCGGCGUUACCUCGGCGACCAGGUCUAUGAUGUGGCUAGGAUGGCGGCCGACUGCCUGGACAUGCCGCUCGGGCUGGAGAGCAUCGCCGCUCACCUCGGCUUCCAUCCGCCGCUGGGGAGCCCACGCCUCGCAGCUGCCGCCGGCGUGCACGCGCUGCAGGUAUUCAUGCGGCUGAAGUACGGAAAACUCGGCGGCGAUGUGCGGAGGUACCGGGGUCUUCUUGAAGGCCUGCAUUAG